rnacentral:rRNA from 1 species
UGGGGAAUAUUGGACAAUGGGCGCAAGCCUGAUCCAGCAAUGCCGCGUGUGUGAAGAAGGCCUUCGGGUUGUAAAGCACUUUUGUUCGGGAAGAAAUCCGUGAGGUUAAUACCCUUACGGGAUGACGGUACCGAAAGAAUAAGCACCGGCUAACUUCGUGCCAGCAGCCGCGGUAAUACGAAGGGUGCAAGCGUUAAUCGGAAUUACUGGGCGUAAAGCGUGCGUAGGCGGUUUGUUAAGUCAGAUGUGAAAGCCCCGGGCUCAACCUGGGAACUGCAUUUGAUACUGGCAGGCUAGAGUGCGGUAGAGGGUGGUGGAAUUCCCGGUGUAGCGGUGAAAUGCGUAGAGAUCGGGAGGAACAUCCGUGGCGAAGGCGGCCACCUGGACCAGCACUGACGCUGAGGCACGAAAGCGUGGGGAGCAAACAGG